rnacentral:tRNA from 1 species
UCCGAGAUCGUCUAAUGGUAGGACAUGAGAUUCUGAAUCUCAUUAUCUAGGUUCGAAUCCUAGUCUCGGAA